ACCGGCGGCUCGAGUGGUGGCCACUAUUACUGGGCUUAAAGCGUUCGUAGCUGGCUUGUUAAGUCUCUGGGGAAAUCUUCCGGCUCAACCGGAAGGCGUCUCAGGGAUACUGGCAGGCUAGGGACCGGAAGAGGGGAGAGGUACUCCAGGGGUGGGGUUGAAAUCCGGUAAUCCUGGGGGGACCACCGGUGGGGAGGGGGUCUCCCCAGGACGGCUCCGAAAUUGAGGAACGAAAGUUGGGGGAGCAACCG
rnacentral:rRNA from 1 species